rnacentral:rRNA from 1 species
UAGGGAAUCUUCGGCAAUGGGGGGAACCCUGACCGAGCAACGCCGCGUGAGUGAAGAAGGUUUUCGGAUCGUAAAGCUCUGUUGUUAAGGAAGAACGAGUGUGAGAAUGGAAAGUUCAUACUGUGACGGUACUUAACCAGAAAGGGACGGCUAACUACGUGCCAGCAGCCGCGGUAAUACGUAGGUCCCGAGCGUUGUCCGGAUUUAUUGGGAGUAAAGCGAGCGCAGGCGGUUAGGUAAGUCUGAAGUUAAAGGCAGUGGCUCAACCAGUGUAGGCUUUGGAAACUGUUUAACUUGAGUGCAGAAGGGGAGAGUGGAAUUCCAUGUGUAGCGGUGAAAUGCGUAGAUAUAUGGAGGAACACCGGUACGAAAGCGGCUCUCUGGUCUGUAACUGACGCUGAGGCUCGAAAGCGUGGGGAGCGAACAGG